UUAUAUUUGAGAUCCUAACAUAAGUUUUUCUCUCCAUCGAAACAAUAAAGCUUUAUGCUCAUUACUAAACUUAUUGAAGAAAUGAAAUAGAACUAAGGUAUAUCUUUUUUAUCAAAGGUUGGAUGGAGUUCUAGGAAAAUAAAACUUCUAUAGGAGAGGAGCAAAUGAAAGGCUUUUAUAAAAAUUCUCACAGAAUCGAACAAACUUUGUAUAUUAGUUAAGACUCAACAAUCACCUUUUACUUUUCAACCAACAGAAGCGUAAUCAAGGUAUUGUAACUCAACAAUUUCAAAAUCUUUCAAAUCUCUUAUGGUUGUAUGAAGUACUCUGUCCUUGCCAAACACAGCGGCGGAUCAUGCAUAUACAUGUUUGGUUUUUGCCAUGUUUUAUUAAAAGAUCCUCUCCUCAUUCAGAAAAAGAUUGGCUGAAGACUGGUUUCGCAGGGCAACUUGUCAUCACUUCCUACGUGCUUCAGUCAAUUGUUAAAGAAAAUCACAAUUGCCGUUUCCUUUCCUAUAAAAAGCUUCAAUAUGUAAAACUUUCAUGAAGGUUUUCUACGGUGGAUAAUUAAAUGCAGAAAGCUGAAAGUGAUCAGUAGAAAAUUCACACC